CAAAAGGCUACUGAUUGGUUGCAGCCUGUUCUCCACUGCAACCAAUGAGAGGCAUGGUGGAGUGACUGGGGGCGGGGCUUCCAGUAUAAAAGCAGCAGGAGGAAGUCACAAUUAGUGGUGAUGAGACUUUGCAUUAGCAUUUCAUGCUUCAGAGCUCUGAGAGUGUUUAUAACACCACGACUUUAACACUUCAGGACUGAAAGUUUCUGCUACAGCAGCUUCACCCACAGCUACCAUGACUUUAAUCCUCGUCUUCAUCUGCACUCUGAUCCUCUGGACUCAAGAAUCUGUAGGUCAAGUCACUGUGACUCAGACUCCUGCAGUGAAAUCUGCUCUUCCAGGAGAAACAGUUACCAUCACCUGUAAAACCAGUGCUGAUGUUGGUUACAGCAGCUCAUAUGGUCACUACUUAUUUUGGUACCAGCAGAAACCUGGAGAAGCUCCUAAACUUCUGAUUAAAUAUGCUAAUCAGGUUCUGUCAGGAAUUCCAGCUCGUUUCAGUGGUAGUGGAUCUCAUUCUGAUUUCACUCUGACCAUUAAAGAUGUCCAGAGUAAAGAUACAGGAGAUUAUUACUGCCAGAGUUACCAUUACAUCAGCAGCAAGAACCUGUUCACACAGUGUUAGAGAGUCGUACAAAAACCUCUGGGUCAGAUUGUAGAGAAGCUGCUGCAGCUGCAGGUGUUCAGUUAGAGGAUGUGAUGCAGCUGAAUAAAGCUCUGUGGAAGGAAAACAAACACUAACACACUAACUCACAACUACUGUUUGAAAUAUCUGAAUAUUCAUAAUGUCAUAAUAUAUUCUGCACAUCUACUACAACCCCAAAUCAGAAAAAGUUGGGACAGUAUGAAAAAUGGAAAUAAAAUAAAAAC